AGGUCUGUAUGUCCACAACAGAUGUUUCGUUUUAUGUGGUUGAUGCUCACAUGUGGGGUUUUCGUGAGGCCUGUGCCGAGCAUCACUUACAAAAGGGACAGGGAGUAGCUGGAAGGGCAUAUGCCUCUCAAAAAUCAUGUUUCUGUGAAGAUAUAAGGCUAUUUUGCAAAACGGAGUACCCUUUGGUGCACUAUGCACGUUUGUUUAGGAGUAGCUGGAAGAGCAUAUGCCUCUCAAAAAUCAUGUUUCUGUGAAGAUAUAAGGCUAUUUUGCAAAACGGAGUACCCUUUGGUGCACUACGCACGUUUGUUUGGUUUGUCCAGCUGUUUUGCAAUCUGCUUAAGGAGCACUUACACUGGCAAUGAUGAUUACAUUUUAGAGUUUUUUCUGCCACCAAACGAUGGAGACUACAAUGACCAGCUAGCUUUGCUGAACUCACUCUUAUUGACAAUGAAGCAGCACUUUAGGAGUCUUAGGGUUGCUUCUGGGGAGGAACUCGAGCAUGACUGGGGUUCAGCGGAGACUACAAUGAUCAGCUAGCUUUGCUGAACUCACUCUUAUUGACAAUGAAGCAGCACUUUAGGAGUCUUAGGGUUGCUUCUGGGGAGGAACUCGAGCAUGACUGGGGUUCAGUUGAGGUU
rnacentral:lncRNA from 1 species